rnacentral:piRNA from 1 species
UCAUAGUGUUUUUAGAACCCUGCAGGCCUCA